AAAUUUAGGUUAACCAAACCAAGAGCCUUCAAAGCCCUAAACAAGAGUAACAAAAUCUCUU
rnacentral:tRNA from 1 species